rnacentral:rRNA from 1 species
AUCUAUGGCCAUACCACCCUGAACAUGCCUGAUCUUGUCUGAUCACAGAAACUAAGGAGGGUUGAGACUGGUUAGUACUCAGAUGGGAGACCACCUGGGAAUACCGGGUGCUUUUUUUU